GUCUUGAAAUGCUGCAUAGUUGUAAGCACUUUCACUUUGGAAGAUAUCAACUCUCUGGCUCAAUUCCACCUCAGCUACUCCAUGAAAAUAUGACACUUGCUUAUUCAUUUGUGCAUGGGGAGCUAAAUGGAGCUGAAGCAUAGUAACUAGCUAGUCAUUUAACAAAUGGUGCAUAUAUGUUGG